UAUAAAUUGUAUACAUAUAUUGGAAUUGUAUGUUAAAUUAAUGACAUUGACACAUGCAAAGACAAUUUUUAUUUUGAAUUUGUGUGUCUCAUGUUUGUUAUAGGUUUGCCUCAGGCAAAGCUGACAAUAUUUCCAACAUUUGCUACUGAUGAAGAAAAGGUGCAGAUGGUCUGUGGAGGUCAUGAGAAUCAGCAUAUAUCUGAGUGCAUGUUUUACCCUGCAGGACAGGAGAACUUUUUAAAACCAAGUGCAUCGUGUAACUUUUCCCUUACUGGUGCCAACCUGAUCAUAUGGUCACAAGAUCAGGAGAGUUCACAUGUUAAUAUAUCCUGCUACUAUACUGUGCAUGCCUUAGGAGAAAAUGGAACAUCACCUCAUUCCAACAUAGUCUCAGUCAGGGUCAGAGGUUUGGCCACCAUGUCGUCUUUGCCACCAACCACAGAGGACAGCCCAACUACAAUGACCCCCAAUGGAGGAACCUUUCAAGUGAAUUUGUCCACUGUGUCAACAACGAAUACAACAACAUGUGAGUUGCCUUGAUUGAUUGGUAUUACUUAACAACUAGGCUAUAUCCUCUCAACCAACAUAAUUCUAAUUCAUUUUGUACACAUACCUCAUAUUAUUACAUCUGUAUUAUAAUCAUCCAUUUAACAAUAAUUUGCCCAUUAAUAAUAUGUUUAACACGUAGUGUAACUCUUGUUCUGUGGGUUUAAUAGCUUUGGCUGUAACAUCCAGUACUGAAAUCAUAACAGAUUCAUUAACCAGUAAGUGCUUCAUUCCUUCUCAUGAUUUUUUUCUACUAAUCAAACAUUUUGAUUGGUUGGGUUUAAAUCAACUCAUCUAAAUUUGUUGUGUUACUACAGAUAUGUCCAGUCUAAGUACCCAUGACAGCCAUAGUUUAAUAGAUCCUGCAAAUGGUGAGACCUCAUCUCCGGCUCAUUUCAUCUCAGCAUCCUUGGACUCGAGUACGCUGACUCAUACUACAGAACAUGCAUCAAGUAAAUACUAUAAAAUGUAUAUUUCUAUACACAUGGUCUUGAAAAUUCUCAGUUCACAUCCAAGCUUAACAAACUGAUCAAUUAAUAUAUUAAUCAGGUGUGAAGUGUGAAUGUGUUCAGCCAAAACAAGAUUAAUUAACAUGCUGAAUAUAAUAUGCUAAUGUCCAGUUUUUUAUUUACAGUUUUCCGCUUGAUGACUGAAGGUCCUGAAAUCAAAAAGUACUCAAAAACAAGUAAGUAACUUUACUCAGAGGAUGCAUUUAUUCAGUGCAGCACAUUCAUUGGAAACCGGAUGGCACUGAACAUUAAUGCAACAAUGCAUUUCUUGUUAAUCUUUGAUAUCUUUGUCUCACACAGAAAUGUUUUUCUUGAUUGCUGUGGUUGCAAGUGGUGGAGGAAUUGUACUGACUGGACUCAUAAGCAUCUGUUUGUACAGAUGUACACGUAAGUGUAUAAAUGGACAUGUCUUACAUAUGGCUUAUAGUUUUAACAUUCUAAUUGAACAAAUAAAUGCACAGCUUGACAGUUUGAUGUUUCUUUC
ensembl:lncRNA